GCCAGUGUGGUGCAGUGGUUUGGGCAUUAGACUACGACUCUGGAGAUGAGAGUUCAAUUCCCUGCUUGAGCU